GGAGGAAGCAGGGGAUCGCAAGACCUUGCGCUUUUGGAGCGGCCGAUGUCUGAUUAGCUUGUUGGUAAGGUAAAAGCUUACCAAGGCUUCGAUCAGUAGCUGGUCUGAGAGGACGACCAGCCACACUGGGACUGAGACACGGCCCAGACUCCUACGGGAGGCAGCAGUGGGGAAUUUUGGACAAUGGGGGCAACCCUGAUCCAGCCAUGCCGCGUGAGUGAAGAAGGCCUUCGGGUUGUAAAGCUCUUUCAGCCGGAACGAAACGGUUACGGUUAAUACCCGUGACUACUGACGGUACCGGAAGAAGAAGCACCGGCUAACUACGUGCCAGCAGCCGCGGUAAUACGUAGGGUGCGAGCGUUAAUCGGAAUUACUGGGCGUAAAGCGUGCGCAGGUGGUUUUGUAAGUCAGAUGUGAAAUCCCCGGGCUCAACCUGGGAACUGCGUUUGAAACUACAAAGCUAG
rnacentral:rRNA from 1 species